GAUUAUGAUAAUCUAGCAUAUUAUAACAUUUUCCAUGACGGUGACAUUCUUAACUACCCCUUUCCUCAGGCAUUUUAUGGUUAUUCUAUUGUUUAACCUAAGGCUCUGAUACCACUAGAUGUCACGCCCCGGACCCGGAUCCGUGACACGGCCGUGCUAUUGCCGACUAUCGCCCGCAAUAGCACGUAGCCUCAUACAGGGGUAACAGGUAGCCAAAAGGAUUCAAACUUUUAUAUAUAUUAAAAGCUUUGCAGUACAACCUUCAAGUUUGAAACCAAAAAUACAGAACUUCUAUGCUAUUCAAAUGUACAAAAGUAUAUAUAAGCUUGUCCAAAAAUACGAAGCUCUGUAACAAAAUAAAAACAUAUCUGGUGGCGGUCACUGAUGAGGAUCUGAAAGAAAACGAAACAUAACCAGAUGUGAGCUACACGGCUCAGUAAGUAAUCCUGCAUAAUCCUACCGGAUCAACUAGUAGGCUAAACAUGUAAAUCAGGGUUUGAUAAGUUGACAUGCAUAUUCAUCUAAUAAUCAUCAUGGCACAAUAAGUAUGCGAUUUAAACAAAGCAGUAGUGCAAAUCACAAAAUUUUCAUAAUAUAUGCAUAUGAG
rnacentral:lncRNA from 1 species